rnacentral:rRNA from 1 species
GACGAACGCUGGCGGCGUGCUUAACACAUGCAAGUCGAACGGAAAGGCCCUGCUUUUGUGGGGUGCUCGAGUGGCGAACGGGUGGGUAACACGUGAGUAACCUGCCCUUGACUUUGGGAUAACUUCAGGAAACUGGGGCUAAUACCGGAUAGGAGCUCCUGCUGCAUGGUGGGGGUUGGAAAGUUUCGGCGGUUGGGGAUGGACUCGCGGCUUAUCAGCUUGUUGGUGGGGUAGUGGCUUACCAAGGCUUUGACGGGUAGCCGGCCUGGGAGGGUGACCGGCCACAUUGGGACUGAGAUACGGCCCAGACUCCUACGGGAGGCAGCAGUGGGGAAUUUUGCACAGUGGGCGGAAGCCUGAUGCAGCAACGCCGCGUGCUGGAUAACGGCCUUCGGGUUGUAAACCGCUUUCGCCUGUGACGAAGCGUGAGUGACGGUAAUGGGUAAAGAAGCACCGGCUAACUACGUG